rfam:Vigna radiata var. radiata cultivar VC1973A scaffold_7, whole genome shotgun sequence
GCCGGUUUAGCUUAAAGGUUAGAGCAUCGCAUUUGUAAUGAGAAGAUGAUCGGUUUGAAUCCGAUAAUUGGCU